AUUAUUCAACAUUGACAGCUGACCUUUAGACACUUUAAAGAGGCUCAAGUUGUCUAGGAGUUGCUUUUGGUAACUAGGCAAAACAAGAGAAAGGAUAAGAGCAACCAAAAAACGAAAGGACCGUCAAAAUUUUGAUCGAUAUCGCAGCAAAGAAAAGAGAAGAAGUGAGAAGAAGAUUGAAACGUGAGUGUGCGUGAAGCGGUUGGAAUUGUUCCGACUAUUGUUGGAGGGAGUUUCUACAGAAUUUUGGUUUGGUGGUCUUUGUAUGAUUGUAGUGCGAAGGUUAUAUGGUUUUAUUGUGAGGGAUUUGUUGAUGAAUCUGGGUUCAAUGAUGGCUCCGAUUGGCUUUUGAAAAGAGUAUUUUUUGUAUUGAUGUAGCAUUUGGGAACCAUAUUGCUACGUCCAGCCAAUAACACUCCCGCACGCCACGCCGUUGACAAGUUGAACUUUACUACGUCUUUUUUCUUUUUUAGCUGGUUGGACGAUCAUCUCUGAUGGCUUUAUUUUAAUUUGGUCUUUUAUUGCAUGUACUUUUACAUUUUCUUCUCGUGGUUUGCUUUUGGCUGUGUGUCUGUUGCUUGUGUACCACUAUUUUUCUGACCCCGACACUCUUUGUGAUGGUGUAUCGAUGGAAAUAUCGGUGCGACAGUAAUAAGGUCAGUGUUGAUGUGAGUGGUAUUUCGGUGUAUUUGAAUUUAGUUACAUAUUUUUUAUUUCUUUAAUUUAAUUUAUGUAUUUAA